AUUCUCUCACAGAGGAUGUGUGUCCCUUUAAAGACUCUCAGGCAUGACUCAGGUAAAUGCUUCAGCUCAAAGACUGAUAGUCCCAAAUCACUCUCAAGGCUGAGAGGAAAUACUUGUCCCUAUGAACUACAAAUCCCAGUAUGCCGGGAAGUUCUCAGUCCCAUGUUACCGCAAACUCACUUAUUAAUGUCUCUUCAAUACAAGGCCUAUCUAGCCUUUCAGCUGAAAAUGGGAUCCAACUGAAACACCUGGUCUAGUCCUGAUUAGACAUUAUGCCACUAAGCACCAGACAGUUUUUUUCAGGUUGAUCACCUUAUUUCAACUGACUGGAAUGGUGUUAUCCUACAACUUCAGCAGCUGUAAUCACUACCAAAUGGCAAGUGACUAUGAAAAUACAAUAUACAAUAAGAAACUGGAAACUUUGUAUUAUUCGGAAUCGUCAUCAUCUGAAAAUAGUAAUUUGUUCUGUGAAACCAAGAGUGGUUGUCUAACUGUCAUAGAGCAGCUUGCCCACAAUUGGUCAAACAACUGUUCCUCUGAAAUGGGGGAAACUGUUGAAGAUUUCGUGAAUAGGACUCGCAUUGCCCUGAAGAAUUAUUGUCCAGUCUUCCAGGGAAAUCAGGCAAACAACACACAGCCACCAAAAAAGAAUACGGAAGAAAGAAUUGAAAAAAUGACGUGCUCUGAAAUAGCUAGAAAUUUAUUAGAAAUUUGGAGAGACUACUGGAGAGAAACAGAAAAGUCAGCUAGAAGAAGGGGGGAAAAGGAAGAGAAGAUAAAGUCUGAAUAAGUGAUAUAAAACUACUGAAAAGAACUUGCAAGGAGAAAAAAUGUAGCCACAUUUUUAGCUCAGAUUUUUAAAAUUCUUGGAACAAUAAGAAUGAUGAGGUCAAAUAUACGUAUCAAUCCUGAAAAACACCUUUAAUGUUUAUAAAGAUUAUUUAUAUUUUUGAAACAUUUGCAGAGUGGAUUUUUAACUUGUUUUGUG
rnacentral:lncRNA from 1 species